rnacentral:rRNA from 1 species
AACGAACGCUGGCGGCAGGCUUAACACAUGCAAGUCGAACGAGAUCUUCGGAUCUAGUGGCAGACGGGUGAGGAACACGUGGGAACAUCCCUUUCAGUUCGGAAUAACGUUGGGAAACUAACGCUAAUACCGGAUACGUCCUUCGGGAGAAAGAUUUAUCGCUGAAAGAUUGGCCCGCGUCUGAUUAGUUAGUUGGUGAGGUAAGGGCUCACCAAGGCUACGAUCAGUAGCUGAUCUGAGAGGAUGAUCAGCCACAUUGGGACUGAGCACACGGCCCAAACUCCUACGGGAGGCAGCAGUGGGGAAUAUUGGACAAUGGGCGCAAGCCUGAUCCAGCCAUGCCGCGUGAGUGAUGACGGCCUUCGGGUUGUAAAGCUCUUUUGUCCGGGAAGAUAAUGACUGUACCGGAAGAAUAAGCCCCGGCAAACUUCGUGCCAGCCGCCGCCGUAA